rnacentral:misc_RNA from 1 species
UGGUUCUGGCAUCGAUGAAGAACGCAGCGAAAUGCGAUAAGUAAUGUGAAUUGCAGACAUCAGUGAAUCAUCGAAUCUUUGAACGCACAUUGCGCCCGGCAGUAUUCUGCCGGGCAUGCCUGUCCGAGCGUCAUUUCAACCCUCAAGCCCCCGGGCUUGGUGUUGGGGAUCGGCUCGCCCCCCCGGGGCGUGCCGGCCCCGAAAUCCAGUGGCGGUCCCGCCGUCGGCUCCCUUGCGUAGUAGCAACACCUCGCACUGGAACGCGGCGCGGCCCUGCCGUAAAACCCCCGACUUUUAUCAUGGUUGACCUCGGAUCAGGUAGGAAUACCCGCUGA